AUCCUUUUGUGGUUCAGUAGUGUGAUGACUGGGUUUUCAUGCUAUCGUGAGAGAUGUGCCUCCUUCAAACCUUGUUAUGACAUCGGCACCUUACCCAUCUGACA